rnacentral:rRNA from 1 species
GAUGAACGCUGGCGGCGUGCCUAAUACAUGCAAGUCGAGCGAACAGAUGAGGAGCUUGCUCCUCUGACGUUAGCGGCGGACGGGUGAGUAACACGUGGAUAACCUACCUCUAAUACUGGGGUAACUUCGGGAAACCGGAGCUAAUACCGGAUAAUAUAUUGAACCGCAUGGUUCAAUAGUGAAAGACGGUUUUGCUGUCACUUAUAGAUGGAUCCGCGCCGCAUUAGCUAGUUGGUAAGGUAACGGCUUACCAAGGCAACGAUGCGUAGCCGACCUGAGAGGGUGAUCGGCCACACUGGAACUGAGACACGGUCCAGACUCCUACGGGAGGCAGCAGUAGGGAAUCUUGCGCAAUGGGCGAAAGCCUGACGGAGCAACGCCGCGUGAGUGAUGAAGGUCUUCGGAUCGUAAAACUCUGUUAUUAGGGAAGAACAAAUGUGUAAGUAACUAUGCACGUCUUGACGGUACCUAAUCAGAAAGCCACGGCUAACUACGUG